CUAUGUAUGUCCUAUUUACCCACCAAACUGUUGUUAUUCAGCUAUGACAAGGGAAAAUAGAUUUUGCAUUCUAUCACCCUUUAAUGAGAAAAUUUAGGAAGAU